AAGAAAGUGACAGAAUGGUAAUGUGUUCGGCUUGAAACCGACUUAAGGGGGUUCGAUUCCCUCCUUUCUCG
rnacentral:tRNA from 1 species